rnacentral:lncRNA from 1 species
GGGAUGGCAGCCUACCCUGUGGCAACGCGGGAGUCGCGUUGCCGCAGGGGGCGCAUUGGGGUCCAGCCGUCCCCGGAACGCAGAUCAGAGGUAGUCGGACCUUUCUCGCUGGCGCGCGGCCUCAGCCAGGCACACAGAGUGGACAGAAAAAGAUACCUCUGCGAUCCCGGGUCAUCUCUAGAUGCUAGGGUUAUGGUUUAUUCUAGUGGGCCCAACCUCUGAGACCAUCCUUGAACAUCAGUAGACUGUGAGUUGUACAUGGGUGAGAGCAGCUUCGCCAACCCCUGCAAAGUGACUCAGAAGAAGACGACAAGCCCUGCUCCAGUCACACCUGGAAGCUGACUGGUCCACGCAUGGCCAAAGCAUGAGAAAACUCAUCGCGGGACUCUUUUUCCUUAAAAUUUGGACUUGUACCAUAAGGACUUCAACUGACCUUCCUCAGACUGAGGACUGUUCCCAGUGUACACAUCAAGUCACUGAGGUAGGAAAAAAGUUGCUACAGUCCUAUUAUUUUAUGGUUAUUAUAAGUGUACCAGGACUCUAAAAAGAACUUGUUUGUAUAAUGCUAUUCUAUACAAGGUAUGUAGCCCAGGAAGUGACCAACCUGAUGUGUGUUAUGACCCAUCUGAGCCUCCCAUGACCACAGUUUUUAAAAUAAGGUUAAGGACUGAAAACUGGUGGGGGCUCAUAAACGAUAUGAGUAAAGUGUUAGCCAAAACAAAAGAAAAAGGGGUGCCCAAACAAGUCACCUUGAAGUUUGAUGCCUCUGUUGUCAUUAAUAAUAAUAAGUUAGGAAUAGGAUGUGGUUCUCUUAAUUAGGAAAAAGGCUACAUGGCAAAAAAAAAAAAAAGUAUAUUUGUCAUAAAUUAGGACUGUGUGGAAAUGAAUGUAAAUACUGGUCUUGUGUCAUUUAGGCUACUUGGAUAAAAAAUGAAAAGUAUCCCGUCCACCUUCAGAAAGGGAAAAGUGGCCCUUCCCUUACCAGUGGUCGGUGUAACCCCUUAGAACUAGUAAUAACCAACCCCCUUGAUCCUCACUGGAAAAAAAGGGGAGCGUGUAACCCUAGGAAUUGAGGGGGUUGGACUGGAUCCUCGAGUAAAUAUCAUGGCUUGAGGAGAAGUUUAUAAACGCUCUCCUGAGCCAGUAUCUCAACCCUUCUAUGAUUAACUGAAUGUGCCAGUACCAGAAAUUCCAGGAAAAACAAGAAAUUUGUUUUUGCAAUUAGCUGAGCAUGUAGCCUAGUCUCUCAAUUUCACUUCAUGUUAUGUAUGUGGAGGAACUAUAAUGGGAGAUCAAUGGCCAUGGGAAGCCUGAGAAUUAGUACCUACAGACCCAGUUCCUGAUGAAUUCCCAGCUCAAAAGAAUCACCCUGAUAACUUCUUGGUCCUAAAAGCCUCAAUCAUUAGACAAUACUGUAUAGCAAGAGUGGGGAAGGACUUCAACCUUCCUGUGGGAAGACUCAACUGCCUUGAGCAAAAACUGUAUAAUAGUACUACAAAAAUAGCCACCUAGUGGAGUUCAAACCACGCUAAGAAAAAUCCAUUUAGUAAAUUCCCAAAGUUGCAAACCAUGUGAACCCACCCAGAGUCCCACCAGGACUGGACAGCCCCCACUGGAUUAUACUGGAUAUGUGGGCAUAGAGCUUAUGCCAAAUUACCCUACCAGUGGGCAGAUAGUUGUGUUAUUGGCACUAUUAAACCAUCUUUCUUCCUACUGCCCAUAAAGACAGGCAAAAUCCUGGGCUUCCCUGUCUAUGCUUCCCGCAAAAAGAGAAGCAUAGCUAUAGGAAAUUGGAAAGAUAAUGAAUGGCCCCCUGAGAGAAUCAUACAAUAUUAUGGGCCUGCUACUUGGGCACAAGAUGGCUCGCAGGGAUACCGGACCCCCAUUUACAUGCUCAACCAAAUCAUACAGUUACAAGCUGUCUUAGAAAUAAUCACUAAUAAGACCGGCAGAGCCUUGACUAUUCUGGCCCAGCAAGAAACUCAGAUGAGAAAUGCUAUCUAUCAAAAUAGAUUGGUUCUCAACUACUUGCUAGCAGCUGAAGGAGGGGUCUGUGGGAAAUUUAACCUUACUAAUUGCU